UGCCAUUCGGGCCGAGUCUAAAUCAAAUCUGUUGGGCGGAGGCCCAACAGAUCAAUUCGUUCAAAGUCAUAGCUGUCCAGCAAAGUGAAAGGGAAGCUAAUAUUGUAGAUGUAUUGAAGUUCCAACCAUGGGUAAAAAUGGUCAACUAGGGGGAAGCAAAUAUUGAAGAUCCGUUGAAGGCCCAACCAUGGGUAAAAAUGGUUAACUAGGGGCUUGGUAUGCCCCUAGCCUAACUUAUCUUUUACUUACAUAUUUUUAUUUUGAUAUUGCAUUGUAUUUGUGUGUUUGUAAAACAUUUGUAUUUAUUGGAAUCCUUUACGGUUAUGAA